rnacentral:rRNA from 1 species
UACAGAGGGUGCAAGCGUUGUUCGGAAUUAUUGGGCGUAAAGCGCGUGUAGGCGGCUUUGCAAGUCGGGUGUGAAAGCCCUCGGCUCAACCGAGGAAGUGCGCCCGAAACUGCAGAGCUUGAGUACCGGAGAGGAUGGCGGAAUUCCACAAGUAGAGGUGAAAUUCGUAGAUAUGGGGAGGAACACCGGUGGCGAAGGCGGCCAUCUGGACGGAUACUGACGCUGAGACGCGAAAGCGUGGGUAGCAAACAGG